rnacentral:rRNA from 1 species
GCACGGGUGCGUAACGCGUAUAGAAUCUACCUUGUACUAGGGGAUAGCCUUUGGAAACGAAGAUUAAUACCCUAUAGUAAGUAUUUGUGGCAUCAUUUAUACUUUAAAGGUUACGGUACAAGAUGACUAUGCGUCCUAUUAGUUUGUUGGUGAGGUAACGGCUCACCAAGACUUCGAUAGGUAGGGGCCCUGAGAGGGGGAUCCCCCACACUGGUACUGAGACACGGACCAGACUCCUACGGGAGGCAGCAGUGAGGAAUAUUGGACAAUGGAGGCAACUCUGAUCCAGCCAUGCCGCGUGCAGGAUGACGGCCCUAUGGGUUGUAAACUGCUUUUAUGUAGGAAGA